CGCGUAGGCGGAUUCGCAAGUCCGGGGUGAAAUCUUUCGGCUCAACCGGAAAAGUGCCUUGGAUACUGCGAGUCUCGAGGGAGGUAGGGGCCGCGGGAACUUCCGGUGGAGCGGUGAAAUGCGUUGAUAUCGGAAGGAACGCCGGUGGCGAAAGCGCGCGGCUGGAUCUCCUCUGACGCUGAGGCGCGAAAGCUAGGGGAGCAAACG
rnacentral:rRNA from 1 species